rnacentral:rRNA from 1 species
UAAGGCGGGACACGUGUUAUCCUGUCUGAAUAUGGGGGGACCAUCCUCCAAGGCUAAAUACUCCUGACUGACCGAUAGUGAACCAGUACCGUGAGGGAAAGGCGAAAAGAACCCCGGCGAGGGGAGUGAAAAAGAACCUGAAACCGUGUACGUACAAGCAGUGGGAGCACCUUUAUGGUGUGACUGCGUACCUUUUGUAUAAUGGGUCAGCGACUUAUAUUCUGUAGCAAGGUUAACCGAAUAGGGGAGCCGCAGGGAAACCGAGUCUUAACUGGGCGUCUUAGUUGCAGGGUAUAGACCCGAAACCCGGUGAUCUAGCCAUGGGCAGGUUGAAGGUUGGGUAACACUAACUGGAGGACCGAACCGACUAAUGUUGAAAAAUUAGCGGAUGACUUGUGGCUGGGGGUGAAAGGCCAAUCAAACCGGGAGAUAGCUGGUUCUCCCCGAAAGCUAUUUAGGUAGCGCCUCGUGAAUUCAUCUCCGGGGGUAGAGCACUGUUUCGGCUAGGGGGUCAUCCCGACUUACCAACCCGAUGCAAACUGCGAAUACCGGAGAAUGUUAUCACGGGAGACACACGGCGGGUGCUAACGUUCGUCGUGAAGAGGGAAACAACCCAGACCGCCGGCUAAGGUCCCAAAGUCAUAAUUAAGUGGGAAACGAAGUGGGAAGGCUCAGACAGCCAGGAUGUUGGCUUAGAAGCAGCCAUCAUUUAAAGAAAGCGUAAUAGCUCACUGGUCGAGUCGGCCUGCGCGGAAGAUGUAACGGGGCUAAAUUAUGCACCGAAGCCGCGGCAGCGAUAUGUAAAUAUUGUUGGGUAGGGGAGCGUUCUGUAAGCCUGUGAAGGUGACCUGUGAGGGUUGCUGGAGGUAUCAGAAGUGCGAAUGCUGACAUAAGUAACGAUAAUGCGGGUGAAAAACCCGCACGCCGGAAGACCAAGGGUUCCUGUCCAACGUUAAUCGGGGCAGGGUGAGUCGACCCCUAAGGCGAGGCUGAAAAGCGUAGUCGAUGGGCAACGGGUUAAUAUUCCCGUACUGGUGGUAACUGCGAAGGGGGGACGGAGAAAGCUAAAUCAUCCGGGCGACGGUUGUCCCGGUUUAAGCGUGCAGGUGGACUGACCAGGCAAAUCCGGUCGGUUGUUAACACUGAGGCGUGACGACGAGCCACUACGGUGGUGAAGUGAUUGAUGCUCUGCUUCCGGGAAAAGCCUCUAAGCUCCAGGUUACCAUUAAUCGUACCCCAAACCGACACAGGUGGUCAGGUAGAGAAUACUCAGGCGCUUGAGAGAACUCGGGUGAAGGAACUAGGCAAAAUGGUGCCGUAACUUCGGGAGAAGGCACGCUGGCACUAGGUGAAGUCCCUCGCGGACGGAGCUGAAGCCAGCCGCAGAUACCAGCUGGCUGCAACUGUUUAUUAAAAACACAGCACUGUGCAAACACGAAAGUGGACGUAUACGGUGUGACGCCUGCCCGGUGC